AGCAGCCGCGGUAAUUCCAGCUCCAAUAGCGUAUAUUAAAGUUGUUGCAGUUAAAAAGCUCGUAGUUGAAUUUCGGGAUCAAUAUGCUGGUCGUGCCUUCGGUACGCACUGGUAUUAUUGGUUUCUCCUUUCUGAUGAAUCGCGAUGUCAUUAAUUUGGUGUCGUGGGGAAUCAGGACUGUUACUUUGAAAAAUUAGAGUGUUUAAAGCAGGCUCACGCUUGAAUACAUUAGCAUGGAAUAAUGAAAUAGGACGUUUGAUUCUAUUUUGUUGGUUUCUAGGAUCGACGUAAUGAUUAAUAGGGAUAGUUGGGGGCAUUAGUAUUCAAUUGUCAGAGGUGAAAUUCUUGGAUUUAUUGAAGACUAACUACUGCGAAAGCAUUUGCCAAGGAUGUUUUCAUUAAUCAAGAACGAAAGUUAGGGGAUCGAAGACGAUCAGAUACCGUCGUAGUCUUAACCAUAAACUAUGCCGACUAGGGAUCGGGA
rnacentral:rRNA from 1 species